AGAAUCAACGCUGGCGGCGUGCCUAACACAUGCAAGUCGAACGAGAAAGUGGAGAAAUCCAUGAGUAAAGUGGCGCACGGGUGAGUAACACGUGACUAACCUACCCUUGAGUGGGGGAUAACCUAGGGAAACCUGGGCUAAUACCGCAUAAUAUCGAGAGAUCAAAGGAGCAAUUCGCUUAAGGAGGGGGUCGCGGCUGAUUAGCUAGUUGGUGAGGUAAUGGCUCACCAAGGCUAUGAUCAGUAUCCGGCCUGAGAGGGCGCACGGACACACUGGAACUGAAACACGGCCCAGACUCCUACGGGAGGCAGCAGUGGGGAAUUUUGCGCAAUGGGGGAAACCCUGACGCAGCAACGCCGCGUGGAGGAUGAAGUCCCUUGGGACGUAAACUCCUUUCGAUCGGGACGAUAAUGACGGUACCGGAAGAAGAAGCCCCGGCUAACUUCGUGCCAGCAGCCGC
rnacentral:rRNA from 1 species